AUAAUUGUGACCUGAUGGAGGCACUCAAUGCCCUGGAUCCUGCACAAGCGACAUUCUUGGAUGCCAGCAAGGUGAAGCCUUUACUUGACCUCACCAAGACACCUGCUGUGGACUCUGAAUUCGAGGUGGCCGCAACUUCCUCAGGGCACAAAUGAAAGAGUCUUCUCCACCGGAUGAGGAGAAGUGGACAAUGAAACAGAUUCUGAAACAGUUCCAGAGGCCGCUGGAAGCAAUGCCCACCGUCUUCACAGCAUUUAAACAUGGCCUGACUUUUGGAGCCAGCACCGCGUCCUGUGAAAAUUCGUUUUCCACGCUCAAAAAUGUCUACACAGAACAUCGCCUAACUAUGCUUCAUCAACGCAAGGCCAAUCUGAUCCAGUUGGCAUUUGAGAAGGACUUGACUCGGAAAUUUAGGAAUGAGUGGAAGGACAGUGUUUUAAGGAGGUUUCACACAGUCCACAAACGCCGCCUGCCACUCUACUAAAAGGUUACCACCAGCAUAUGAACUUUGCCUGAUGUGUGAGGACAACACCUCACAGAUCCAUCCAUCCAUCUUCAUCAUCUUUUCUGAGGUUGGGUCAUGGAUGUAGCA